UAGUGCUAGCUCUUUUUGAGUUAGCUUUUCUUUAGCGUAGAUAACUAAAGGAAUAAGGGCUGGGUAAGACGGGUGCCAGCCGCCGCGGUAAUACCUGCAGCCCAAGUGGUGGCCGAUAGUAUUGAGUCUAAAACGUUCGUAGCCGGUCUGAUAAAUCUUUGGGUAAAUCGGGAAGCUUAACUUUCCGACUUCCGAGGAGACUGUCAGACUUGGGACCGGGAGAGGCUAGAGGUACUUCUGGGGUAGGGGUAAAAUCCUGUAAUCCUAGAAGGACCACCGGUGGCGAAGGCGUCUAGCUAGAACGGAUCCGACGGUGAGGGACGAAGCCCUGGGGCGCAAACGGGAUUAGAUACCCCGGUAGUCCAGGGUGUAAACGCUGCAGACUUGGUGUUGGAAAUCCUUCGAGGGUAUUCAGUGCCGGAGAGAAGUUGUUAAGUCUGCUACUUGGGGAGUACGUCCGCAAGGAUGAAACUUAAAGGAAUUGGCG
rnacentral:rRNA from 1 species